GCGCCCUUAGCUCAGUUGGAUAGAGCAACGACCUUCUAAGUCGUGGGCCGCAGGUUCGAAUCCUGCAGGGCGUGCCA
rnacentral:tRNA from 1 species